rnacentral:rRNA from 1 species
UGUCAGCCGCCGCGGUAAUACGAAGGGGGCGAGCGUUGUUCGGAAUUACUGGGCGUAAAGGGCGCGUAGGCGGCUCUUUAAGUUAGGCGUGAAAGCCCCGGGCUCAACCCGGGAACUGCGCUUAAUACUGGAAGACUAGAAAACGGAAGAGGGUAGUGGAAUUCCCAGUGUAGCGGCGAAAUUCGUAGAUAUUUGGAAGAACACCAGUGGCGAAGGCGGCUACCUGGACCGGCACUGACGCUGAGGUGCGAAAGCGUGGGGAGCGAACAGGAUUAGAUA